rnacentral:rRNA from 1 species
AGGAUGAACGCUGGCGGCGUGCCUAACACAUGCAAGUCGAACGUCCUGUCUCGCAAGAGGCAGGGAGUGGCGGACGGGUGAGUACCACGUGGGUUAUCUACCGUGAGGUGAGGAAUACCGGCGAGAAAUCGCCGACAAGACCGCAUAGCCUCGGUGCAAGUCGAGGAAAGCUCUCUCGAGAGAGGGAGCGCCACACGAGGAGCCUGCGCCCGAUUAGCUAGCUGGUGGAGUAAUGGUUCACCAGGGCGACGAUCGGUAGCUGGUCUGAGAGGACGAUCAGCCACACUGGGAUUGAGAACGGCCCAGACUCCUACGGGGGGCAGCAGUGAGGAAUUUUCGUCAAUGGGGCAACCCUGAACGAGCAACGCCGCGUGCAGGAAGAAGGUUUUCGGAUCGUAAACUGCUUUUCUCGGGGAAGAGAACGGACGGUACCCGAGGAAUCGACGCCCCGGCUAACCUACGCGCCAGCAGCCGCGGU